UAGGGAAUAUUGGACAAUGGGGGCAACCCUGAUCCAGCCAUGCCGCGUGAGUGAAGAAGGCCCUCGGGUUGUAAAGCUCUUUUGUCCGGAAAGAAAAGCAUUCGGUGAAUACCCGGAUGUUCUGACGGUACCGGAAGAAUAAGCACCGGCUAACUUCGUGCCAGCAGCCGCGGUAAUACGAAGGGUGCAAGCGUUACUCGGAAUUACUGGGCGUAAAGCGUGCGUAGGUGGUUGUUUAAGUCUGAUGUGAAAGCCCUGGACUCAACCUGGGAAUGGCAUUGGAAACUGGGCAGCUAGAGUGCGGUAGAGGGUAGUGGAAUUCCCGGUGUAGCAGUGAAAUGCGUAGAGAUCGGGAGGAACAUCUGUGGCGAAGGCGACUGCCUGGACCAGCACUGACACUGAGGCACGAAAGCGUGGGGAGCAAACA
rnacentral:rRNA from 1 species